UAUUCUGCCCUACGGGGAAGGAUGAGAAGGUUCGACUCGAGCGUAGCGAGAGAACGUUGCCGCAGGCAACGGCCCGAAGGGCGAGGCGCGUUAGCGCCGAGUUAUCCUUCCCCCACCACCA
rnacentral:sRNA from 1 species